rnacentral:rRNA from 1 species
GACGAACCUUGCUAACGUUAUUCGGAAUUACUGGGCGUAAAGGGCUCGUAGGUGGCCAACUAAGUCGGACGUGAAAUCCCUCAGCUUAACUGGGGAACUGCGUCCGAUACUGGAUGGCUUGAGUUUGGGAGAGGGAUGCGGAAUUCCAGGUGUAGCGGUGAAAUGCGUAGAUAUCUGGAGGAACACCGGUGGCGAAGGCGGCAUCCUGGACCAACACUGACACUGAGGAGCGAAAGCCAGGGGAGCAAACGGG